rnacentral:rRNA from 1 species
GACGAACGCUGGCGGCGUGCUUAACACAUGCAAGUCGAACGGUGAACGAGGGAGCUUGCUCCCUCCGGAUCAGUGGCGAACGGGUGAGUAACACGUGAGCAAUCUGCCCCGAACUCUGGGAUAAGCGUUGGAAACGACGUCUAAUACCGGAUACGACGCGGGAGGGCAUCCUCUCCGCGUGGAAAGAACUUCGGUUCGGGAUGAGCUCGCGGCCUAUCAGCUUGUUGGUGAGGUAACGGCUCACCAAGGCGACGACGGGUAGCCGGCCUGAGAGGGUGACCGGCCACACUGGGACUGAGACACGGCCCAGACUCCUACGGGAGGCAGCAGUGGGGAAUAUUGUACAAUGGGCGCAAGCCUGAUGCAGCAACGCCGCAUGAGGGACGACGGCCUUCGGGUUGUAAACCUCUUUUAGCAGGGAAGAAGCGAAAGUGACGGUACCUGCAGAAAAAGCACCGGCUAACUACGUG